CCCUACAGAUAUCUUUUAUUUUGCCUUUCUGUAAGCACAGAACUCUACAUUGGAAGUUAUAUUCUUUAAUGGUGACCUUCCAUAAUCUUUGGAUUCUCUUAUUUUUGUCAAGAAGUCAAUUGUUAGUCUUAUUCUCGCUUCUUUGGAUAUAUUUCUAUUUUCUUUGUCUGCUUUUUUAGAAUUUUUCUAGAAUUUUGAUUUUGACUUUAACGUUGGACUUGAUUCUGGUUUUUCUUGUUUCUGGUUUUUCUUGGGGUUUAGUAAUUCCUGAAUCUGUGAUCGAAGACUCCUACCAAUUUGGGACAUUUUCCAGCCAUUAUCUCUUUAGAUAUUGCAUUCCUCUCUUUCCAGUUGCUCAUUUCUUAGGCCUUUUUAUUGUGUCCUGUAUGUCUUUUAUGAUCUUUUUUGUAAUUUCUAUCAUUUUUCUCCUUAAGUUUCAGCUUAUAUGUUUGUAAUGGCACUACCCUCUCUUCCUACCUUUUCUUCUACUUUGUUCCAUCUGCAUUUCAGCACAUCUAUUGAGUUCAUCAUUUCAGUAGUCACAUUUUUUAUUUCUUGUAUUGAUUCUUUUUUACUGUUGUCAGUUCUUUGCUAUAAUUGUCUACCUUGUCAUUUAUUUUUUGAACAUGUUAAUCACAGUAAUAAUAUAUUGCAUGUCCAAAAAUUAUAAUAUCUCAGUCAUCUUUGAGUCUGGUUUCUUUACUUCAUUUGGGACAGCCUUGUAUCUUGGCUUGCCUGAUACAUUUUCAUUAAAUGCUAAAUACUGUCCAUGCUAAAUUAUAGCAUUUCUGUUGAGAACUGAACCAGCUCAAGGUUGGGUUACAGUUUUUGUAAGGCUUCUAAUUUGUCUCCACUCAUACGCUAUAGCUCUCCUGAAAUGUCAGCUGAAAUCCUACAGUAUUUACUAGGGUCCAUACUCCUUCGUAGGUUGUCAUUGGUACCAUAUGACUGCUAAAAAUACUACUCUGCCUUUUAGAGAUCCUUUGCUUACUGUCUUGCCUUCUUGUUCUGUAACAUUACAAAUUUAACAAAUACCUCAAAGGAGAAGACCCUGAGUGUCAGGCUUACUCCACUAUGUUUCCUUCUCUUCUAGAACAGGACACCUCAAUUCUAACUGCCUUGGCAGCCCCAAAAUUCAAUUUUUGUCUCAGCAACCCUGGAGAUUGUCAAACGCUCUAUUGGCUUCUCUACCUCUUAUUAAAAGCCCUCUUCCUAGAUUCUCAACAUCUAACCAAGCACCAAAAAUCUGCAAAUGCCCUGAGGGGAAGAUCAACUUUUAAAAUGUCAGCCUAGCUCUUUCUACUCCCAGGGAUCUGAUCUUAUCAAGUCUUGGCUACCUUGACAGCGCUCUCAUACCCCCUUUAUUGUUCUUUUAUUUUUAUAGCUUUUCUAGCUGUAUGGGAAGUUGUAUAGGAAGUGGUUUGUCACAAGCUAUGGCAUUAGAGCCAAAUCAAAGUUCAUAGUCAAUAUUUUUAAUUACAAAUAUAUGGCCCAACAAAGUCAAGUGUUAUAUAAGGUUCUUAAAUGAUUUAGCAAUACCAGCAUCCGUAACCUCCUUUGAGAAUGGCUGGGUGCAGUGAUUUAUGUAAGAUCCCAAAGUUAGAGCCAAAAACUGUAGCAGAAUCCAACCUCUUGAACCCCAGUAUAGUCUAAUCUGUUCUAUACCACAUUGACUCACUUAUUUGCAGCAGUGAUUCUCAACCAGGAGCAAUUUUUCUCCUCCCUUUUGGUUGUCAGAGCUGGGUGGGCAGUAGAGAAUGAGGGAAUUCAACUGGCAUCUAGUGGAUAGAGGCCAAAGAUGACAUU